ensembl:lncRNA
UCCGGUUUCGGGCAGGUCAUGCGGUCAUGUGAUAGUUCGCGCUGAUGGACGUAGGAAGUGUUACAAACAGCUGAUGGAUCGGCGAAGCGUGUUUCUGGAAUAUCAUGUUUUUGUUGCUGCAAGUGAUUUUUAUGCAGUUUUUGCAAAGCUAUAUGUGGAAGGAAACUGUGACCUAGGACAAGCUGAUGGCAUAAGAUCAAGUGACAGGAGUCCGUCCUAAAUCCCAGAGCCUGCAGACUGACAGGUGGAUUAGUGCCCGUGUUCUUCGGUUAUUCUCCCUGCUAGAUUCUAGCAUGGUUUUACAGUCAAGGCAGGAGGCAUGGAGCAGGAGAUCUGAUUUCAUGGCGGCUUCUGUCGGAUUAGACAGGAAACUGGAGAGGGUGCCAAGAGAGGUUUGCACACCUUUCACCUUUUCUUCUUACCAUCCACUAUGUUUAUUGGAUGUCCACAGACUUGUAUGUCUGUGGGUUUAUGGUUUUUUUGGCAACUUAUGGUAUUUAUUGUUUUUUUUGGUUUUGUUUUGUUUUUUUGCCUGUCCGGUUUAUCUGUCUGACUUUUUUCAUCCUUCUUGUGAUCCUUUUAUUUUGUUCUUUAAAUUUUGCUGGGUUUUCUGGUAAUCCCAUCUAAAACAAAGUUUACAGAACUUAUGCAAACUUAAAUUUGAUUUUUUUUAAUUUAUUUGAAUAACAUUGAUCUUUAUCAAUGAUUAAAUUUUACUAUGAGUAAAAUUACAUUUUUGUAUUCUUAAAACAAGACUUUUUAAUAAUUUCUUUCUGGAUAGUCUGCGUGUUAGGAAAACACAAGGGCCUUGGAGGCCUCAACGGAUGAGACGGUAUAAAAGUAUUUCUGGCGAUCACACACAGCGUCUCUUGCUCCUUCUGCAAACCCUUUAUGAAUCAGAGGAGCCUCGCCUGAGACCUUGUAAGCUGAAAAUCUAACCUGGCACAGCCUGAUUUCACCGUUGGCUGACUUGUACAUGUUAACUCCAAACAGGAGAGUAUCUAGUUUGAAAUAUAGUCUACAUUUAUUGGAAGUGGAGAGAAGAACGGGGGUGAAGGUAGAAGAGAAGCUUGAUGCAAAAUUACUGAUGUGAAUUAUUUGCAUGAAUACUGAAGGUCAUUUAAAAUUAUUUUUUAGUCCCUGACUGUUUUAUAUUUAGUUGUAGAAAGGAAAUCAUGACCCAGAGUUGAAAAUUUAGCAUAUUUUGAACAUCUAAAGAAAACUUGUAAACAUGCUCGAUAUUUGCAGUUGUUCUUUAAAAAUAUGCUAUCUAAUUAACAAUUCAUGCAUUCAUGUUAAUUCAAUGUUGUUGGUUUUUUUUAAGAAAAAAAGAGUCUUUUCAAAUGGUAUCUAAUUUUCAAGAAUAAAAAUAAUCCAGGGGGAAAAAACCAAGACUUAAGCAUUUUUCUUAGGCUGUGUUACAGAAUCUACAGUACAGUAUGCAGAUUUACUUAACAACUGCAAUUUAUUUAAUGUGUGCAGUUACAGAGGAUACUUAACAAUAAAUCAAAUUUACUGAUUUUGCCCAUUUUGGUCAUUUCAGGAUGAUACAUAUUCCACUGCCAGAAAACAGAAAAUAUAAUACAGAAAAUAAUACCAUUCAGACUUCAACAUUUGAUUUAAAUGGGAAAAGCAGUUUUAUUGAGGCAUUAUUUCCUUUCUUCUUUUCUAUCUAAUAAUUACAGCCAGUGAAAAUAUAUAGAUGUUUCAUCUUUCUUUUUUUCUUUUUUCUUUUUUUCUAAUGGCUUGAAGUGAAAUCUAGAAUUGAACUUAAAAUCCCUCCCCUCACAUACAAAUGUCUCAAUAAUCAGACCUCGUAGUCACAUCAGAGCACUUUGCUUUUUGAGUUCAGGUUUACUUUUGGUUCAUUGGCUUUUGAAAAGUAGAAUGUGAGGCACACACUUCAGUCAUUAGGUUCCUUUCCACCAGAAACAUCUGUUUUGGGCUCAACAGUCAGACUUCCUCUCUACUUUUUUAAGAUUAGUCUUAUAAUUUUUAUGUUUUAGCUACUAGGGGACCCUUUUUCUACCCCCCCCCCCCCCCCCCUUUCACUCCCCAUGUGCCUCUAUGCCACUAUUGCACUUCAUUAACUUUUGUCUUCUUUCGCCCAUAGUUUGUAUUUUCUGCUCAUCACACUGUCUCACUUUACUCUCUUCUCCUCCUCCCCCUCGUUCUCCAAUCUGUUGCAACAAAUGCCUUCUUUUCCCUGAACCUGGGUCUGCCGUUGAUCUCUUCCUGCUUUAAGAGAGGUCUUCCUCCCCAUCAUCUACAAGUGCUUGGCCUUACAGGGUCAACGGACUGUUGAGGUUGUUUUUCUAAAGAUCUAGCGUCCUUGUCUUACAUCAGAAAGCACUUGGAGAUUAAUUUUGCUGUGAACCAAUGUUAUAGAAAUAUUACCGAACUUAAUUGAAUGUAUAAACCCUGCUUUAGCUAGUGAGGGUGUCUUGUGAAACAUCUC